AGCUAGCCCAUCUCCAUCCUUUCCUUCUUCAGGAGGAACAUGGCUGGAUCCUCCCUCACCUGACCUUCCACCCAAGUUCUGUCCCAGGGCCUUCUGGGAGAGGGAUGUGGGGAAGAGAGAGGAGAUACAUUUCAAGAUCUUGCAUUUAUCGGUUGACUCUUUCCAACACCUUGUGACCAAGAAUAUCUUGGGGCCAGAACUCUCUCAUUUUUAUCAAGAUCUGGGCCAAUGGAGACAAAAAGUCAGGGAAGAGAUGCUUCGCCUAUGGCUUCCUGACAUCCUUGAGACCAGCUAUCCCGUUGGUGAAAGGGAGUCAUGCUCCAGCUGGAGCAGAGGCUCGUCAUCAUGCUGGGUGUGAGGAUGUGAGGUGGUCAACAAAGGCACUGAAACUCCCAUCUGGUCCUCUUAGAUCCACCUAGAAUCCAGUUGCCGUGCUAUGAGGAAGAACCAACAACAAAGCCACAUGGGAUAUGACCUGAGCAUCUCUCUCCAACAAUCCAAUAAACAGGCAGGCUGUGAGCAGACACAAGAGUCGGGAAGCCAUCAGGUGGAUUCCAGUGCUUCAUUGUCAAUUCUGCAGGACUUUCUAACUGACAGACACACACCACCCCAUCUGUUCUUAAUCCACUGAGGCACGAUUGUAAUGGUGUGCCAGUCAGGCUGUUGUAUACCAAGCUAGGGGUGAGUUCUUCUCCAAGAACAGAGAGGGAAGCAGAUGUAAAUAACAAAGGGCUAUAAA